UCAGAUCACGUAAAAUUUUAAUAGUCGAACAGACUAAAUUAACCUAGCUUCUUCACCAACUAUAAAUUUUAAUUCAACAUCGAGGUCACAAUCUUAGCUAUUAAUAAGAACUCGCUAGCUAAAUAACGCUGUUAUCCCUAAAGUAACUUCAUAUUAAAAUAUAUUAUAUAAACACAAAAAUUUUUUCUUCGUCGAUUGCCCCAAUCAAAAAUUAUUUAAUUUCAAGCUUUUAGGGUCUUCUCGUCCCAAAAUUUUAAAAAAGCAUUUUUACUUUUAAUUUAAUUUCAAAAUUAUAAAACAAAACAAUCCUUUAAAAUCUCAACCUUUCAUUCCAGUUUUCAAUUAAAAAA
rnacentral:rRNA from 1 species